UUUGGGUGGAAAACCCUGAUGCGCAAUGAAAGUGAAUGCAGCUUGCUGCUGAGGUAGGAACCUUGUCUUCGGAUAGGGGGCACUAUCGACCGAUCAAUCACUUGUGAUAGAUUUGAGUAAGAGCAUAUCUGUUGGGACCCGAAAGAUGGUGAUCUAUGCCUGAACAGGGUGAAGCCAGGGGAAACUCUGGUGGAGGCUCGAAGCGAUACUGACGUGCAAAUCGUUCGUCUGAUUUGGGUAUAGGGGCGAAAGACUAAUCGAACCAUCUAGUAGCUGGUUCCCUCCGAAGUUUCCCUCAGGAUAGCUGGAACUUGUGACAGUUUUAUCAGGUAAAGCUAAUGAUUAGAGGUACCCGGAUUGAAACAAUUUGGACCUAUUCUCAAACUUUAAAUAGGUAAGACGCCCUCGGUAACUUAAUUGUACCGGGGCUUCGAAUGUACGAGUUCUUAGUGGGCCAUUUUUGGUAAGCAGAACUGGCGAUGCGGGAUGAACCGGACGCGCGAGUUAAGGUGCCAAACUGUUCGCUCAUCCAGAUCUCACAAAAGGUGUUGGUUCAUUUAGACAGCAGGACGG
rnacentral:rRNA from 1 species